rnacentral:rRNA from 1 species
UACGUAGGGUUCAAGCGUUGUCCGGAAUUAUUGGGCGUAAAGAGCUCGUAGGCGGUUUGUUGCGUCGGCUGUGAAAUCCCGAGGCUCAACCUCGGGUCUGCAGUCGAUACGAGCAAACUAGAGUGUUGCAGGGGAGACUGGAAUUCCUGGUGUAGCGGUGAAAUGCGCAGAUAUCAGGAGGAACACCGAUGGCGAAGGCAGUGGGCUGGGCCGGCACUGACGCUGAGGAGCGAAAGCGUGGGGAGCGAACAGG